CAUGUCUCUUUUCGUUGCCGGAUUCCUGGAAUUCUUCGCAUGGUGUUGCGGUAAGGAUCAUGGACUUAUCUAUUUUUUUACUGAGAAACACAUGUUCAUCAUGUCCCCUCUCUGUUGUGAUGUUUUAAGGAAAAUCAUGGUGAUGUAGUGUGCCAUGGAGAUCACUCCGGUGUGUGUGUCGCCAUCUCUCUGAACCUGCAGUGGAAUCCUAUCAACCACCAUUACCGCUGCUUCUGUACAUGACAUGAUCAUCUCUAAAGUGAAAUUGGCGCCAUCUCAUUGAUCACCAACCGUUUGUUGUCCAUCAUUGGUGUUAGACGCCAUUGAGGUCUUGUCCAGCAACCAUGAACCUCGAUGUUCUUGUGAUGCUUGUACCAGUUGAUUGCUAACGUUAGAAGAGGGGCUCUACAAGGAUGAUCAAGAAGUUGGAUAGCAAGAAUUUGGAAGGCAAGUGUAACAUGAGUUCCCUUGUUACCUAACAACUA